rnacentral:rRNA from 1 species
CAGUAGCCGCGGUAAUACGUAGGGUGCAAGCGUUAAUCGGAAUUACUGGGCGUAAAGCGUGCGCAGGCGGUUUGUUAAGACAGAUGUGAAAUCCCCGGGCUUAACCUGGGAACUGCAUUUGUGACUGGCAAGCUAGAGUCUGGCAGAGGGGGGUGGAAUUCCGCGUGUAGCAGUGAAAUGCGUAGAUAUGCGGAGGAACACCGAUGGCGAAGGCAGCCCCCUGGGCCAACACUGACGCUCAUGCACGAAAGCGUGGGGAGCAAACAGGAUUAGAUACCCGUGUAGUCCCUGUCUCUUAUAC